UGCAGUCGUGCGAGAAGUCACCUUCGGGUGGCGAGUAAAGCGGCGCACGGGUGAGUAACGCGUGGGUAAUCUGCCUUCGGGUCCGGGACAACUCCGGGAAACUGGAGCUAAUACCGGAUAAGACCACGGCGUCUUCGGACACUGUGGAAAAAGGUGGCCUCUUCUUGAAAGCUACCGCCCGUAGAUGAGCCCGCGUCCCAUUAGCUUGUUGGUGAGGUAACGGCUCACCAAGGCGACUAUGGGUAGCUGGUCUGGGAGGAUGAUCAGCCACACUGGGACUGAGACACGGCCCAGACUCCUACGGGAGGCAGCAGUCGGGAAUUUUGGGCAGUGGGCGCAAGCCUGACCCAGCAACGCCGCGUGAGGGAUGAAGGCCCUCGGGUCGAAACCUCUGUCGGAAGGGAAGAAAGGUGGAGAGGCGAACAGGCUCUUCGCUUGACGGUACCUUCAAAGGAAGCACCGGCUAACUCCGUGCCAGCAGCCGCGGUAAUACGGAGGGUGCAAGCGUUGUUCGAAAUUACUGGGCGUAAAGAGCGUGUAGGCGGCUUGGUCAGUCGAGAUGUGAAAUCCCGGGGCCCAACCCCGGAACUGCAUCCGAUACUGCCUGGCUUGAGUCUCGGAGAGGAAGGCGGAAUUCCGGGUGUAGAGGUGAAAUUCGUAUAUAUCCGGAGGAACACCAGCGGCGAAGGCGGCCUUCUGGACGAUGACUGACGCUGA
rnacentral:rRNA from 1 species